AGAGUUUGAUCCUGGCUCAGGAUGAACGCUAGCGGCAGGCUUAACACAUGCAAGUCGAGGGGCAGCAUAAUGGUAGCAAUACUAUUGAUGGCGACCGGCGGACGGGUGCGUAACGCGUAUGCAACCUACCCUUUACAGGGGGAUAACACUGAGAAAUCGGUACUAAUACCCCAUAAUAUUCUGGGAGGCAUCUUUCGGAGUUGAAAGCUUUGGUGGUAAAGGAUGGGCAUGCGUUGUAUUAGCUAGUUGGUAAGGUAACGGCUUACCAAGGCGACGAUACAUAGGGGGACUGAGAGGUUAACCCCCCACAUUGGUACUGAGACACGGACCAAACUCCUACGGGAGGCAGCAGUGAGGAAUAUUGGUCAAUGGACGGAAGUCUGAACCAGCCAUGCCGCGUGCAGGAAGACGGCUCUAUGAGUUGUAAACUGCUUUUGUACGAGGGUAAACGCAGAUACGCGUAUCUGCCUGAAAGUAUCGUACGAAUAAGGAUCGGCUAACUCCGUGCCAGCAGCCGCGGUAAUACGGAGGAUCCAAGCGUUAUCCGGAUUUAUUGGGUUUAAAGGGUGCGUAGGCGGUUUAGUAAGUCAGCGGUGAAAUUUUGGUGCUUAACACCAAACGUGCCGUUGAUACUGCUGGGCUAGAGAGUAGUUGCGGUAGGCGGAAUGUAUGGUGUAGCGGUGAAAUGCUUAGAGAUCAUACAGAACACCGAUUGCGAAGGCAGCUUACCAAACUAUAUCUGACGUUGAGGCACGAAAGCGUGGGGAGCAAACAGGAUUAGAUACCCUGGUAGUCCACGCAGUAAACGAUGAUAGCUCGUUGUCGGCGAUACACAGUCGGUGACUAAGAGAAAUCGAUAAGCUAUCCACCUGGGGAGUACGUUCGCAAGAAUGAAACUCAAAGGAAUUGACGGGGGCCCGCACAAGCGGAGGAACAUGUGGUUUAAUUCGAUGAUACGCGAGGAACCUUACCCGGGCUUGAAAGUUACUGACGAUUCUGGAAACAGGAUUUCCCUUCGGGGCAGGAAACUAGGUGCUGCAUGGUUGUCGUCAGCUCGUGCCGUGAGGUGUCGGGUUAAGUCCCAUAACGAGCGCAACCCCUACUGAUAGUUGCCAUCAG
rnacentral:rRNA from 1 species